AACGAACGCUGGCGGCAGGCUUAACACAUGCAAGUCGAACGCCCCGCAAGGGGAGUGGCAGACGGGUGAGUAACGCGUGGGAAUCUACCGUACCCUACGGAACAACAGUUGGAAACGACUGCUAACACCGUAUAAGCCCCUAGGGGAAAGAUUUAUCGGGGUAUGAUGAGCCCGCGUUGGAGUAGCUAGUUGGUGGGGUAAAGGCCUAACAAGGCGACGAUCCAUAGCUGGUCUGAGAGGAUGAUCAGCCACAUUGGGACUGAGACACGGCUCAAACUCCUACGGGAGGCAGCAGUGGGGAAUAUUGGACAAUGGGCGCAAGCCUGAUCCAGCCAUGCCGCGUGAGUGAUGAAGGUCUUAGGAUUGUAAAGCUCUUUCACCGAUGAAGAUAAUGACGGUAGUCGGAGAAGAAGCCCCGGCUAACUUCGUGCCAGCCGCCGCCGUAA
rnacentral:rRNA from 1 species